rnacentral:lncRNA from 13 species
AUGAUGUUAGAGCUGGUUAGCAUGAUGUUAGAGUUGGUUAGCGUGAUGUUAGAGUUGGUUAGCAUGAUGUUAGAGUUGGUUAGCGUGAUGUUAGAGUUGUUUACCGUGAUGUUAGAGUUGGUUAGUGUGAUGUUAGAGUUGGUUAACAUGAUGUUAGAGUUGGUUAAUGUGAUGUUAGAGUUGGUUAGCGUGAUGUUAGAGUUGGUUAGUGUGAUGUUAGAGUUGGUCCAAUGCCGCUCUGACAAAUACUGUAUAUGCUUAAUCCAUUCCUGACUUAGAUUUACGUGUAUUUUGAGAAUAUGAUAUUACUUGUUAGAUAUUACUGCACUGUCGCUUCUAGAAACACAAGCAUUUCACUACACCUGCAAUAACAUCUGUAUGUGGCCAAUAAAAUUUGACUUGAUUUGGUUAACAUGAUGUUAGAAUUGGUUAGCCAUGAUGUUAGAGUUGGUUAGAGUUGGUUAGCGUGAUGUUAAAGUUGGUUAGCCAUGAUGUUAGAGUUGGUUAACCUUUCUGAUCUCCCCAUCCCGGAUCCGGGAUCGUGAAUACAGACUCAAGCUCAUUACCAUAACGCAACGUUAACUAUUCAUGAAAAUCGCAAAUGAAAUGAAAUAAAUAUGCUAGCUCUCAAGCUUAGCCUUUUGUUAACAACACUGUCAUCUCAGAUUUUCAAAAUAUGCUUCUCAACCAUUGCAAAACAAGCAUUUUUGUAACAGUAUUGAUGGCUAACGUAGCAUUUAGCAUUAGCAUUCAGCUGGCAACAUUUACACAAAAAAACAGAAAAGCAUUCAAAUAAAAUCAUUUACCUUUGAAGAACUUCAGAUGUUUUCAAUGAGGAGACUCUCAGAUAGCAAAUGUUCAGUUUUUCCUGAAAGAUUAUUUGUUUAGGACAAAUCGCUCCGUUUUCUGCGUCACGUUUAGCUAUGAAAAAACCCCUGUAUCCAGGAUUGUGUAAAUCUAUCAGCAAGCUCAUUAGCAUAACACAACGUUAACUAUUCAUGAAAAUCGCAAAUGAAAUGAAAUAAAUAUGCCAUCUCUCAAGCUUAGCCUUUUGUAAACAACACUGUAAUCUCAGAUUUUCAAAAUAUGCUUCUCAACCAUAGGAAAACAAUCAUUUGUGUAAAAGUAGCUAGCUAGCGUUAGCAUUUCGCGUUAGCAUUUAGCGUUAGCAUUAGCGUUAGCAUCCAGCACGCAACAUUAACAAAAACAUAAAAGCCUUCAAAUAAAAUCAUUUACCUUUGAAGAACUUCUGAUGUUUUCAAUGAGGAUACUCUCAGUUAGAUAGCAGAUGCUCAGUUUUUCCAAAAAGAUUCCUUGUGUAUUAGAAAUAGCUCCGUUUUAUACAUCACAUUUGGCUACCAAAAAAAAUCCGAAAAUUCAGUCCUCAAAACGCGAACUUUUUUCCAAAUUAACUCCAUAAUAUCGACUGAAAACAUGGCAAACGUUGUUUAGAAUCAAUCAUCAAGGUGUUUUUCACAUAUCUCUUCAUUGAUACAUCGUUCUUGGACACAUGNNNNNNNNNNAGAGUUGGUUAGCAUGAUGUUAGAGUUGAAUAGAGUUGGUUAACAUGAUGUUAGAGUUGGUUAGCAGGAUGUUAGAGCUGGUUAGCAUGAUGUUAGAGUUGGUUAGUAUGAUGUUAGUGUUGGUUAGAGUUGGUUAAUAUGAUGUCAGAGUUGGUUAGCAUAAUGUUAGAGCUGGUUAGCAUGAUGUUAGCGCUGGUUAGAGUUGGUUAGCAUGAUGUUAGAGUUGGUUAGCGUAAUGUUAGAGUUAGUUAGAGCUGGUUAACAUGAUGUAAGAGCUGGUUAGAGCUGGUUAACAU